UGUCAGGUUCAGUGUGCUCUAUUCGCCGAGACCCUCUCUGGCCACAAGCUGAUAUGCCUCGAUCUCCUCCUCUUAGCAGCAGGUUGCCCCCUUCGGAUGCCAGAAAUACCUCUGGCGUGACCGUGGCCACCAUCGCUUACCUGGAGGGUGACGCAUCCUUCUAAUCCAGGAACCUGACCGGUUGACAACGCGAACUCUCGGCUCCUGCGCCCCUGAUUCCAAUCGCGUGAGGCUGUGUCAUUUGGCCUGGGCGACAUUUGGGUCCAGGCACUGCCAUGGCAAUCUGCCUUGCGUCCCACGCUGCUUUCUCCGCCUUUCCAGUCCGCUCUCCAUCGGCACCUCCUCCCCAUCCUCUCGGGAGGUUCAAGGGAUGUCUUCUUGGCUCAACUGACGAAACCACUGGCUGCUACUGACAUGCUACUGGCCAUAGCCAUGAUGCCACUGCUGUGUCGCUAAGUCGACAAUGUGGUGUCCCGUCCGUUGCAGCAUGGACAAGUGAUCAACGGCUCACGCGCACGGAAAAUAGCAAAAGAGCAACCCCCCAUUCACACGCCAUCGAAUCAAACGCUGGGCUUAGAGACGCAGGACUAAUGUACCCUUGGAUUUGCCUCGAGCCGAGUCGUACCACCACAGUCCUAUCAGACAGCAGGACAGAAGCGAACCCUUUGCAAGAUCCCAACCUAACAAGUCAUCGUCAUCCUUCGACCUGGCCAUCGACAACAAGUACUUUGACUAUGACAAUCAAGAGAGGAGCUACGCGGGCUACUAGACUCUAGAUUUUGUUGUUGUUACAUACAU
rnacentral:sRNA from 1 species